ACACAGGAAAGACCUGUGCAGCCUAAUACACUGACUUUUUGAGAGGUCUGCAGCUAAUAUAGAGGUCGAAGGUAUAGUGGCGAGGAAAACGAAGCUUAGCGAUCUAUGCAUAUUACGUUCAAUUCUAAGAUUAAGUAUCAUGAUGACUCUGCAAGGAAUGACAGAGAAAAUGUUUUUCCACCUUCUUAUGUUCAGACCAAGAAGACGGACACAAACGAGCAAAUCUUUAUUGCAGCAGAAUAAUGAAUUUCCAGUGUAUGCGAACUGUCUGCUGCUCAUUCUAAACUUUGUAAUGGGAAUCUUACAGUUUUGAAGAAAACAAUGAAAGAUCAUGUUAUUUCCAUUCGGUUUUAGUGCAACAUCGACAGGAUUCAUCGAUAUAUUUAGUCUUUACCUUAUUACCUCCCAAACAUUGAAUAUCUUAUCAAGAGUCAAUCAUGGAUAUCCAUGUAGUGGAAUGCUACCCUCCCAUUAUUCAAGAUUUUCUAAUGGCGCUGGAAUAAGUGCAUCAAAAAGCAACGACGAAAAGUUUUCUUCGAAAUCUACAAGGAGGUGGCGGAAAAGGUAUACAUGGAUUUUACAGACGAAGAUCUCUAUACAGGGAUGGGCACAUAUGAGGAGUUAAAUGGAAUUAAAAUUGUUACAGACGCUAGGCAUGGAUGGCGAAAAACGCGAAGGAUAUCUUCUCUGUUGUCGCAAUUAGGGAAAAUUCACACAAAGUUAUUGAUUGUGUCCAUGUAACAAAAGCAAGGACCCGGCAACUCAGCGACGUGAAAAAAUUGGCACUGUAAAAAUUAAUGGUCAUCUUGCAGAACAAGAUGUUUCAAGCAAAGUACCCUAACAUGACCGAAAUCAAAGCAUAAAACAAUUGUCAAAGACAUUAGGGAAAUAACAAACCGAAAUAGUCUUUGGCAGUCAGUGAAAUCACUAAAAAAUAUCCAUAAAUAACACAUCCGGAGGUACGAAAAAAUCUCAAGGAUGAAAAAGGAAUGAACAACUCAUUGACAAAACAAAGCCAAUAGCAACCUAUGUUCACUGGGCUAUUCGACAUUGUGAGCAAGAUCAUGUCAAAUUACGAGAAUACGUGUAGCAAAACACCUUCAUCACCUGCAUAUGGUUUUUUUUCUCUCAGUUAAGUCGAUACACAAGGGGAUGCUCUUCGUAUGAACAGUUUCUAAGGCGAGGCAAGCUUCUGACAAACAAGCUGAAAAACAGGACUAUCAACAGUCUCGUUUGAAUUCAUCUUUUUGUAAGUUCUAUGGUCGACACAACAAUCUUGUCAGCAAAUACAAUCUUCAACUGGGUCCCAUGCGGAUUGACGGUUUUCAGACUAAUUGUUAGACCAUAAUUAAUCACCUAAUUGUCUGCGGACCUUUCCGUUUUUUCCCGUUUACGACAAAGCGCAUACAGCGGAUGUGACAGGUCGGCAAAGGAUGCUUACUCCUCCUAGGCACCUGAUCCUACCUCUAUCUUUUUAGAGGUUCGUGUUGCUCUGCUUUGGAUUUGUAUUUCGUUUUAUGGAUUUUGAGAUGGUUGACAAUUUGUUUUUUCAUUUUUUUCAUGAAUAACAUUAUUCCACACUAUGAGAACAAUCACAGCUAAUGUGCAAGAUGGAUCCAAAUGACGAGUCAUUACGGAUAGUUUUGAUAAGCAGGCACGCCAAAAAGUUGCUUGAUAGAACUAUCAAAGAGUGUGUCACUUACAAAUUUCCCCAAGAUAAUGUUUUUGGAAAAGGCACAUUUUAUGUUGAAAGUUUUAACAAUGUCAUUGACAUUUUUAAAGACAAGAGAAUUUUAUUUGGAGAUGACCAGUACAGAUGUCAUUCUAAUCUUGCUGUGUGUCACCGGAAAGAGAAUGUAGUCAGGGGGUUUACAUCAGUGCACUGGCCCAGCAAUCCGAACGCUCCGAAAAAUGUAAAUGGAAAGAAAAUGUACAAGAAUUAGACGUUUACUUGUAGAUCAGCAGUUUGUUGAAACAAUAUAUUGACACAAUUGCGGCAUACACUUAUUUACUAGUAUACAUGUAGCGAUCUUUAUUUGUUAUUCUGCACGUGAUAUUAAAUUAAGAAAACAAGUAUUAAGAAAUUUUUAGUAUCACAUUUAAAUGAAAUUUAUUUAAAAAAAUCUCUCCGCUAAAAAAUUAUCUUUGUCCAUUUCAUUACGUUGUCUCUCUUUAUCUCAGCAAUAAAUCUGAGAAAUUUAAAUCAUGCUGAAAACCAAAAAUUGACAUUUUUUUGUUUUCAUAAUAAAUGUAUCAUCUGUUAAUAAAUCCAACCAAUUUUGGUUA
rnacentral:sRNA from 1 species